GGGUGAUGUGACCUGAUGUGAUCGGAGUUGACUCUCCCACAUACGAUAGCUAGCAAGUAGUGACAAAAGAGUAGCUUAUGACUAGAAGCGAGGAUCGAUGUAGGAUUCUUUGGUCGGAGACAACAUCGGGCUCAGGUCUUUUCUUAGAUCUGCAUUAGAUGCUCGGGCAUUACCCUAGUGCCAGUGGCUAGGGACCCAUGGGCGGAGUCGCGAGGGAUAGCC
rnacentral:lncRNA from 1 species